rnacentral:misc_RNA from 1 species
AUGACUUGUCAUUCUUCCCAAACACAACUAUGAACCAUACUUACAUUAAGAAGUCACGACUUACCAUGAUCCAAAUAAUGGUUAAUGACAGUUGUACUAAAAAAUGACAAAUGAUAAAAUUUUAAAUUACUUUUUAAAAUAUGUGACAUAGUUUCGUGAGCUUAUUUAUAUGCUUUGGUUUUAAUAUAUUGUGAGCCAUACUUACAUUAAGAAGCUAGGACUUACCAUGAUCUAAAUAAUAGGUUAACGAUAACUA